rnacentral:lncRNA from 1 species
GUCUCUGCUCGGUUUAUUUUACAUGGGAUGAAUCUAAGCAUCUCAAGUGUACACACAGAGCUGGAGGGAAAAAAAAUGAGAGCAUUUAACUUCCUGAAAACGCUUUAUAAUAAUGCAGAGCAAUUAUAUAUAGCAAACGCCUUCAAAAUUUGAACCCCUUCAAACAUUUAAUUUUUUUUCAGCAUUAAUACACACCAGUGCUACGAUGGGGGUGGGGUGGGAGCAGAGUGGGCAGGGCGGGUCACAGCCUCCGUCGGGGUCACAACAGUGUUACUUAAAAAUUAUAGUACAACGAUUUUAUGUACGGAUCUCGGCAGCCAGGGCAUGGAAGGGUAUACAGUGUGGCGCCAACACACGCAUACCGGGAUGAGGGGUGCUGGAGGAGACAGCUUUGUAACAUUAAAAAUGUAUAAAGUAUUUAGCAAAAGUUACAGAAAACAGAGCAAACAAGCAAGUUUAUUUUGUUAGAAAAUUCCACGUUCAUGGGGUUUGCUGAUGUGCUCGUGUCUGUGAAAGGGCUGCUCCCCCUUCAUCUCCUUCCCGAGGGGAGGGCACAGAGGCAAAUGUGGGGCCCCUGUCACCAAGGAUGGCUGCUUGCGAUGACCACAGGCGCCCCAUGGAUUAAAUGUGGAAGGGACACAGUCCUUCCCCCAGAAGGACCCGAACACCCUCCCGUCCACACGGAGCACAGGGGUGGGGGGUGCCCGUCCACAGCUACAUUCCCAGACCCGCGCAAUGCCUGGCUUGCCUCAGGUGUCUGCUGGAUAAAAGAAUGAAUGAGGGGAGGGAGGAAGGGCUCUCAGCACAACAGAUCGUGUCUUUGCAAACCUCAGUUCCGCAGAAGAGAAGCUGUAUGUGAACGCCCAGGUCACGGACCUGCAAGACCCCUGGAGAAAAGACACGUCUGUGCAAAGGAAGAGACCGGGGGCUUCCGUGAUGCGGGGGCCAGGUGGUAGCAUGCUGCCCAGGCUGGGCUUAAAUGCUUGAUGUGCCAAUAAAGGCGGGAGUAAAAGCGUGCGGAGGGGCUUGUGAGACCUCAGGGAGGGGCGUUGGGGGAAAGAACGACUUCAGAAGAAACACUGGCCCCGCCUCCGGGCCAGCUGGGGCGGCUCUGGAAGAGCCUCGGGGGAGAACAGAAGACGCUGGCAGCCUCAGAUGGAGAUGAGGAAACAAAAGCAAUGAGCCACAUCACACUCAAAAUAUCCGUGUUAAACAACAAGGCUGUCGGCUUCGAAUGUCAGAAAAUCCACAAAUUAGUUGACGAAGCCACGAAGCAAGUACUGCUAGCACCCUUUUUUUUUUAUAUAUAUAAAGAAACCAAGAAAUGAUAUCCCCAAACUGGUGGCUGGUGUCACGGCCCCACCCCAGACUGGAAGGAGGGGUCUCUGUACCCGAUACAGAGCUGUCCCGCUGGCCUUCAUGCUGGGGGACGUUUUUGCACUGACCUUUUCGGUUGGGAGGUUUCAGUAAGGAAAAAAAAAAAGCUUGGUUUGCUUUAGGAUAUGGGGCAUCUUUCUCCUAUAACCACGAGGGUGCCUUUCUGACCUCAAUGAAAGAGGGGCCGAAAGAUUCCAGAUCAACGCGUCACCGGUGACCAGCAUGGACGUCGGGAAGAAAAACCUACUGAGUUGUGCUCUUAGACUUCGGCCCUUAGGAGAGACCUGUGGGUCCUGUAAACUGCAGGUAAUCAGUGGGAAAGACGACCAAGAAAGACGGGACCGCAGGGCCUGGGUUCCAGGCUGGGAUCUGCGCCUUGCGAGCCGCGUGGCCUCCUUCAGCCGCCUCCUCUUCCGGGGCCCCUCGAGCUGAUUCUCAAGAUGUCACGUUGAAGGGGGGACGUGAUAAGGGAGGACCCAGUGGCAGUGCUGAGAGCUUCCCAGGUCACACUCAGCCCAGGCUCUCCCCCGGGAGGUGGGAAAGGGCAGCGUGGUACCAGCACCAAGCACGGGCUCCGUGCAGGGCUCUGGACCGUGCAGAGGAAGCUGAGGGGCCGAGGUGGCGGGCUGCCUGGAUGGUGACACAUACUAUGGCCACAAGGGUCUGCAACGCCUGUACCGUGCCUGCCUGUGAAAGCCGUACGAGGGACAGUGGUCCCAACUCACGGUGCACAAGCAGGUGAAGCCAUCUGGGGGGCAGGGGGGUUGGGUGACAGGCUUGCCCCGACCCAUCUCCCUUGUGGGACUGACCCAGGCCCUGGGAUGCGCGAGGGCGGGAGGAGUGAGUUGCCAGAGGGGACACUUGACAGAGAAGGCCUGAUCUAACAGGAGACACGAUUCCGUGCUCCGACUCGGGGCUAAUCUGCUGAAUGAGGUAGUUCCAUCCUGACCUCUCCAGGCAGGGUCCGUCUGGGCAAACAGGAGCUCGGCCUUCUCCCCAAGACUCCUGGUGAUAAACAGGAGCAGAGAAGAGCCAGAAUGUGGGGGCCCAGGAUGCAAUGGGAAAGAAACUAAAGAGGGAGGGCCGCAAAGGAUUCUGGGUGCAGGCUGCUAAGCUGAAGGGUACCUUCUAUCCACGAUGCUGAUCCUGAUGCUUGGC